AUGGGCAUCUUCCCGAUGAUGUUCUAUCUAUUGGUACUUGAGUCACUAGGACAACCAACUGCUCUAGCAUCUGGAGUUGUAACAAGCCAGCAGAGCCCUGAAGGAAACUCGGCGCAACCAUCACUCGAUGGUUGCCCAACGAGCUGUGGCAACGUGAGCUUUGCCUAUCCUUUCGGCAUCGGAUCCAGGUGCUCCCGUGGGCCUGACUUCAACCUCAUUUGCAACCACACUGCUCAUCGACCGAGGCUCUUCUUGUGCGACGGCAUCACCGAGGUGAUCGAAUUUAGCAAUACUGAUUCAUUUAAUUCAAUCUGGGCCUCCUUCUCGCAUACCAUCCCCAUGCAUCCUGGUGAGAGUGUCUACAACUUUUCUUUGAACUCACCUGGGAGGUCCUUCUCCCUUGAGUCUAUUGUUCUAAACAUUACAAGCUGUGACCUGGAGGUAUACUUUGUUGGAGACGAUGCUACCACGUUAAAAUGCAGCACUGUGUGUCUGGAUCCAAGAACCCCAGAGAUGGUGGCUAUGCACUACUGUAAAAAUACAUCCGGAUGCUGUCGUAUUCAUCUGAACCUUAAAGGCAGUUUUCAGUUCAAAUUUGUCUUCAACCACAGCAAAAGCAUCAUUGGCGCACACUCCAACCAAACCUCUCAACUGUGGGAUAGAAUCAACAUAACUAGUGAUGGGCCGGGUGGCUUUAUGCUAAUGUGGCAGAUAGUUGAGCCAUCCAACUGCGAUGCUGCCAAGCAAAACAGGACAAGCUAUGCCUGUAUGAGCGAGUAUGCCGAGUGCAACGACCGUACACCCAGUUAUUGUCUCGUUGAAGAUGCCGCGUGCAUUGAUGGAAGCAAUGGCUACAGCUGCACGUGCAGGACUAACUAUGCAGGCAAUCCCUACAUUCAAGAUGGUUGCUUCAAUGAUAUAGGAUAUAAUCCAAUUCCGAGCAGGGCUAAUUGUACACGUUCCUGUGGUAACAUUAGUGUGCAAUUCCCGUUCGGCUUCGAAGAGGGUUGCUUUGCCAGGGAAGAGUUUCACCUCAACUGCAUAAGUACGACAUCAUCAGCUGCCCUGGUCAUGUUGGACUUGUGGGAGAAACAGGUCAUUGACAUAAGUGUCGACGAAGGGACCAUUAAUGUCACCAUUCCUGACCAAAAUUCUGCGAACUCCCUGUUUAUAUUACAGCCUAACAGUCUUUUUUCUACAUAUGGGUUAUUUUUCUCUAUGAACUGGGUUGCUGCUAAUCUAAGUUGCGCAGAGGCCCAACAGGAUAAAUCUGGAUAUGCUUGUGUGAGUACGAACAGCAAGUGUAUGGGAGUAAGUGCUGAAGGAGUCUAUGCUGGUUACCGUUGCAAAUGCUCAGAUGGCUUCCAAGGAAAUCCAUACAUCAAAACCGGUUGUCAAGAUAUUAAUGAAUGCCUUCAACCGAGCAAUUGUAACGGGACAUGCCAUAAUAACAGAGGAAGCUUUAGUUGUACUGAAUGUCCUCCCAAGACUAAGUAUGAUUCAUUAAAAAUGCAGUGUACUAAGAGGCAACAACCUCUGCUCUUAGGUAUAAUAAUUGGGUUAUCAUGUGGUUUGGGUGUCCUACUUCUGAGCUUCAGUGUAGUGCUUCUCACUCGUAGAUGGAAAAUAAGCGUUCAAAAGCAACUACGGAAGAACUAUUUCCGAAAGAACCAAGGUCUUCUCCUAGAAACAUUGAUAUCAUCUGAUGAAAGUGCAAAUGAUAAUACAAAGAUUUUCUCGUUAGAAGAGCUAGAGAAGGCAACAAACAACUUUGACCCUGCACGUAUCAUCGGACGUGGGGGGCAUGGCAUGGUUUACAAAGGCAUAUUGUCUGAUCAACGUGUUGUUGCAGUAAAAAAGUCUAAGGUCAUUGAGCAGUCCGAGAUCAGUCAAUUUAUCAAUGAGGUUGCAGUCCUCACCCAGAUAAAUCACAGAAAUAUUGUGAAGCUCUUUGGAUGUUGUCUCGAAACUGAGGUUCCACUGCUAGUGUAUGAUUAUGUAUCUAGUGGUUCACUAUCUGAAGCUCUUCAUGCAGAUACAAGUAACGAUUUUUCUUUGUCUUGGGGUGAUUACUUAAGGAUUGCCCUGGAAACAGCAGGAGCUCUAUCUUAUCUCCAUUCUUCAGCUUCAAUAUCAAUCUUCCAUCGUGACGUGAAGUCCUCCAAGAUACUCUUGGAUGGGAAUUACACAGCUAAAGUGUCAGAUUUUGGUGCAUCCAGAUUGGUUCCGAUCGAUCAAACGCACAUUGUCACGAAUGUGCAGGGUACAUUUGGGUACUUAGACCCAGAGUAUUUCCAUACCAGGCAGCUGAAUGGGAAGAGCGACGUGUACAGUUUUGGUGUGGUACUGGUGGAGUUGCUUCUCAGAAAGAAGCCUGUUUUUACAAGUGAAUCAGGCACCAUCAUGGGCUUGUCAAGCUAUUUUCUCCAGGAGUACAGUGAGGGGAGAAUCACUGGUACUGUUUGUUCCCAGGUCCUGGAGGAGGCAACUGAGGAAGAGAUCAACGGUGUCGCCUCUCUUGCAGAGAGGUGCUUAAGACUGCAUGGCGAGGAAAGACCCACCAUGAAACAGGUGGAGACGGAACUGCAGACUCUACGCGCAAAACAGAUGGAAUCAUCUCAGGCAGAUCCGAGGAAUGGAGAACAGAUGCAACCAAGGUCGUUAACUCAAAGAAGUAGAUCUGCUCGGCAAUUGUAUGCACAGCCUGGAGGUAGCCAACGACACUAUAGCUUGGAGGCAGAGUUCUUGUCAUCUGCUAGCCUACCACGCUAG
rnacentral:rRNA from 1 species